GACGAACGCUGGCGGCGUGCUUAACACAUGCAAGUCGAACGGAAAGGCCCUGCUUUUGUGGGGUGCUCGAGUGGCGAACGGGUGAGUAACACGUGAGUAACCUGCCCUUGACUUUGGGAUAACUUCAGGAAACUGGGGCUAAUACCGGAUAGGAGCUCCUGCUGCAUGGUGGGGGUUGGAAAGUUUCGGCGGUUGGGGAUGGACUCGCGGCUUAUCAGCUUGUUGGUGGGGUAGUGGCUUACCAAGGCUUUGACGGGUAGCCGGCCUGAGAGGGUGACCGGCCACAUUGCGACUGAGAUACGGCCCAGACUCCUACGGGAGGAAGCAGUGGGGAAUAUUCCACAAUGGGCGGAAGCCUAAUGCAGCAACGCCGCGUGCGGGAUGACGGCCUUCGGGUUGUAAACCGCUUUCGCCUGUGACGAAGCGUGAGUGACGGUAAUGGGUAAAGAAGCACAGGCUAACUACGUG
rnacentral:rRNA from 1 species